AUUGAACGCUGGCGGCAGGCCUAACACAUGCAAGUCGAACGAGUGGCGGACGGGUGAGUAAUGUCUGGGAAACUGCCCGAUGGAGGGGGAUAACUACUGGAAACGGUAGCUAAUACCGCAUACACUCGGAGGGGCCCAGAUGGGAUUAGCUAGUAGGUGGGGUAACGCCUCACCUAGGCGAAGAUCCCUAGCUGGACUGAGAGGAUGACCAGCCACACGGGAACGGAGACACGGUCCAGACUCCUACGGGAGGCAGCAGUGGGGAAUAUUUCACAAUGGGCGCAAGCCUGCUGCAGCCAUGCCGCGUGUAUGAAGAAGGCCUUCGGUUUGUAAAGUACUUUCAGCGAGGAGGCGUUACUCGCAGAAGAAGCACCGGCUAACUCCGUGCCAGCAGCCGCGGUAAUUC
rnacentral:rRNA from 1 species